GAGGGGUUAGUUAAAAAAUAACACCCCCUUGUCAAGGGGGAAUAGCGAGUUAAACCCCCGUACCCCUCU
rnacentral:tRNA from 1 species